GUAGGGAAUCUUCCACAAUGGGCGCAAGCCUGAUGGAGCAACGCCGCGUGAGUGAAGAAGGUCUUCGGAUCGUAAAACUCUGUUGUUAGAGAAGAACAUGCGAGAGAGUAACUGUUCUUGUAUUGACGGUAUCUAACCAGAAAGCCACGGCUAACUACGUGCCAGCAGCCGCGGUAAUACGUAGGUGGCAAGCGUUGUCCGGAUUUAUUGGGCGUAAAGGGAACGCAGGCGGUCCUUUAAGUCUGAUGUGAAAGCCUUCGGCUUAACCGAAGAAUUGCAUUGGAAACUGGAGGACUUGAGUGCAGAAGAGGAGAGUGGAACUCCAUGUGUAGCGGUGAAAUGCGUAGAUAUAUGGAAGAACACCAGUGGCGAAAGCGGCUCUCUGGUCUGUAACUGACGCUGAGGUUCGAAAGUGUGGGUAGCAAACAGGAUUAGAAACCCUAGUAGUCC
rnacentral:rRNA from 1 species